CUGGUUUUGUUUUUCGGUACGGCGACAAGCACACGGAGCUGCACGCCGUGGCAGCGAGGGGCUGUUCCCUGCUCCCCUAAUAACUAUGCUUCAACAUCGGAGGCUUAAAACGCUAUCAGAAGAUCACAAGUCCGGUUUAGGUCACCGCUUUCCUUUGCCACUGCAGGGAGAGGGGCGCAAGGCCUUAUAUUCCCUGUGCGUUUUCUCUUGUCUCCACUUCUCCACUUGGGGCACCUUUCAUCCUUCCAGGGCUGAUGCGGACGGACCUGAGUAGGAGAGCUGCUGUGACGUGUCGCCCUUGUAGACAGAAACGCAGACCACUGAGGUGAAAGAGAGAAGGAUGAAGAGUUGUUUGAAAGGGACAAAGAGGGGAGAAAAAACACACCUCCCUCAGUUGUGAUGACUGUUUGAGGCUCACUGCAGCUGUUUGCUGGUCCAAGUUUAUGCCAGCAUCCUGCUAGGACAAGCUACUUACCAGCCAGGGUAUCCCACCCUGCUUUGAGGACAGGGCUCUGAAUGUUCCCCAGGGCCUCUGAGCAGGGAUCAGCUGUGGCCUGAGUUCCUGAGGACUGGGUAGUCCGAAGACCUGAGGAAUAAAAGGAAUAGGAAUAAUCCUUGCAAACAGAGAGGAAGGCAAGGCCACAGAGAGCAGAGGGAGAGAGAUGGGGAAGGAUGCAGGGUGGCCCCGGUUGGCAUGGGAGUCUCUAAGUUCCGUGCUGGCUGAGAGGAGCUAGAAAUCUGGGAGCCAUCAAGGCAGGAUGUAAAGAGAAAACGCCACCUGGAAACAGAGAUUACGAGAGACAAGCAAGCAGCUUUUCUUACCACAGGAUGUUUUUUUGCAUAAGGGCUGUUGCAAGGAAUUAUACUGACCAAGCAUCUGACCACGGGCUUUGGUGGAACCAGCCUGAAUUACACUGCCUGAAGCAUGGGUCCCUGACCAGAGAGUCACGCUGUGCUGAUUGUUUGCGCACUCUUUGCUCCUCCAAAUGCUCUGUACCUCCUUUAGCAGUCACUCUGCAAGAGCCCUUGGAGACAGAGCUGCUUUGAAAGUCUUCUGGGAAAAUCCAAGCCAAAACCUACCAGGGAGGCAUCACACUGUGGGAGUCCAGAAACCAUGUGAUGAAUGCUGCAGGAUGUGAGGGUGAACUUCAGGAUAGUAGUGAAGAUUUGGAUAACAUUGUUAGCUGAUACAGCUGUUGAUUUGCUAAACUGCUCAUAGGAGCUGGUGGCAGAAAUGUUAAGUUUGUAGUUCUCAGCUCUCCAAGAAAAGUCAGAAGCUCCCAGGGUGGUGAGUGCUCUGGUAGACCUCAGACACCCUGAGUACAGAAGUGGAAAGAGAGAGACCUGCAAGUGCAUCCCUGAACUCUAAGAAGAGCAGCAGCACCACCUACCACCGGAGAGGGAAGAGGGAGGGAGGACAAACAAAAUGCUGCUCCUUCAUACUGUUCCCAGAACAAGGUUGGAGUCUAGGUCUCGUUGGCCAAAGGGAAACCUCAUUCUUCCAGCAGAAGCAGCUGGCUCAUAACGUCUCCUGCAAACUCUCUCCUAAAGGAUCCUACUGACUCAGUGGCUGGGUCUUUAUUUGUCUAUCAUCAAGCAUACUCCACUGCAGAGAAAAUAAAAUGUCACUUACUGCUUCAAAGCAACAGUUGUGUGGCAGGCUGUGCCCCCGCCCCCCCACCCCCAGAGUAUCUCAGGCACAAUGGGAACAGAACCCAGCUAACAAUGGCAGCGUUAAUCGGUUUAAGAGAGGUAGCCUGGCUGAUAUGCUCAGCCUUAGCAAAUCAGAUCUGUGGUUGUGGGAUGAUCUCGCUGGGGUGCAGGACCAGGGGUGGGAGAUGGGUGGAGGGGAUGGAAAGGAGAAGGCUUGGAAGAGAAGGGCUAGAGGCUGGUACUAGAGGCUGGUAUUUAGAGUAGUAAUGACUCAGUAAAAAAUUAAACAAGGCUACAAGACUGUAAGAUUUAUUCACCUUUUAGGGGACACGGUUAGGGACCUGUGCUUAGAAAUGUGCAAGGUCUGUGACUUGCAGAUCUGCACAUAAGAGUUCUGCCUACCCAAAAACCUGGCACAGUAGAUAGAUAGUGGUGGGGACUGAAACAUGCUCUGGCUUGAUUAUAAUUCAGAACGAUAGUACAGAGUGGAUAGUGUUCGGGAAGUAGCCCAAAAUCUGGAAUCUGCUCCUGCCAAAGGCAACAAGAAUCUUUCCAUGUAAUUGGAUCAGACCCCAAAGGUGUAGGCAAGAGCUCUUUUAACUUUCUGAGGAAGGAAAAACAGUUAGCUCAGAUGGAGCUGAGCUAU